rnacentral:rRNA from 1 species
CCUACGGGUGGCAGCAGUGAGGAAUAUUGGUCAAUGGACGAGAGUCUCAACCAGCCAAGUAGCGUGAAGGAUGACUGCCCUAUGGGUUGUAAACUUCUUUUAUAUGGGAAUAAAAUGUUCCACGUGUGGGAUUUUGUAUGUACCAUAUGAAUAAGGAUCGGCUAACUCCGUGCCAGCAGCCGCGGUAAUACGGAGGAUCCGAGCGUUAUCCGGAUUUAUUGGGUUUAAAGGGAGCGUAGGUGGAUUGUUAAGUCAGUUGUGAAAGUUUGCGGCUCAACCGUAAAAUUGCAGUUGAAACUGGCAGUCUGGAGUACAGUAGAGGUGGGCGGAAUUCGUGGUGUAGCGGUGAAAUGCUUAGAUAUCACGAAGAACUCCAAUUGCGAAGGCAGCUCACUGGACUACAACUGACACUGAGGCUCGAAAGUGUGGGUAUCAAACAGGAUUAGAUACCCGGGUAGUC